UACAGAGGUCUCAAGCGUUGUUCGGAUUCAUUGGGCGUAAAGGGUGCGUAGGUGGCGGGGUAAGUCAGGUGUGAAAUCUCGGGGCUCAACCCCGAAACUGCAUUUGAUACUGCCUUGCUCGAGUACUGGAGAGGAGAUUGGAAUUUACGGUGUAGCAGUGAAAUGCGUAGAUAUCGUAAGGAAGACCAGUGGCGAAGGCGGGUCUCUGGACAGUUCCUGACGCUAGGAGACGAAGGCCAGGGGAGCAAACGGG
rnacentral:rRNA from 1 species